AUGGGGCCUCUAUGGGGCUCCCACGGGGCUGCAGACAGCUGGCUUCCAGCUGAUGCUCCUGGGGUUGGCAGUGGAGAGAGGAGACAGACACCCACCUGCACAAAACCCUCCCUGCCAGGCCCACAGAUGGACCCAGCCCACCAACACUGGCGCACAGAGAGCUCCAGACGGCCGGUGCUAGGACUUCAGGACCUUAGGUCUGGUGAGCCCAGCCUGUGCCUCCAAGUGGAAACAGUCCUGAGUGUUCCAGGGGAGUGCUGGUCCCGCCACCAACGGAGGAGGGAAGUCAAGGCAAGACGCUGCUGGGGCCCAGGCCCCAGCCUUGCCCGGGAGGCAGACCUGGGGAGGCAGACCUGGAGAGCAAAUGCAGGCCUUGCAAAACACAGGAUGGCAUAUUCCCANNNNNNNNNNNNNNNNNNNNNNNNNNNNNNNNNNNNNNNNNNNNNNNNNUCUGUUAUUUAUUCCAUAAAAUAAAUUUUUCAUAGUAUGAAAUUCCUUUCAUGUCCAGACUUGAGGUCAAGGCAUAUGAAUAUGUAUACACAAAAAUAGUGUGUAAACAUAUGUAUGUAUAUAUACUUAUAUACACACAUUCACACAAUUCAUAUAAUAUUUAGUCUAACAUAUUUGGAAGGUAAAAGCCAUGACCCCAUUUUACCCCCACUUGGCACAAGAUCGGGACAUGUUAAAGUGGGGGAUUCGGGUUAGUCUCUUCAGCUACCCGCAGGAUUGCAGAAAAAGGCCAGGCCAUGUCUGGGGGCAAUAAGGAAGGUGCUGGAAGGUGCUGGAAGGUGCUAGAAAGUGCAGGGAGCGACUCCUGGCACCAAGUCUCCAGCGCCCCUUCCCAUCCCUGUAGCCAAGCGGCAGUUUCCACAGUGGUCGGCAGGGGGCAGUGCACUUUGCCUUUUCUGAACCUGAGGAACGCAGUCGCUCAGCUCCCCAGGGACACACAUACACAUACACACACACACAUACACGCGCGCGCGCGCGCGCAAACUGAUGGCUGCGCCCGCGUCUUCUAAGAAUAGCCCAUCUUUGAGCCCAGCGCACAGUAGGUGCGCAAAAUACGUCUAGAAGUC
rnacentral:lncRNA from 1 species